GGAUUACCAAGCAAUUGACACAAACAAAUAGGGUUACUAUCUAAUAAUCCAGCAAGAGAAGGACAACAUUGUUCAUCUGGCUUACUCAAUUUACUAUCUUGUUCAACAUAUGUCAAACAACUUGACAUGUUUACUAACACUGUCAUACAAUCCAUCCCACCCGAUGUCACCGGCCCUUCUGAACCUGGCGACAUCGACAUCGAUGGCGACUCUGCAGUCGCCAUCGGUGGCAUUGAUUGUGCCUUCGUGAACGGAGGCACGAUCGUCGAAAAU
rnacentral:misc_RNA from 1 species